rnacentral:lncRNA from 15 species
AUGACGAAGACUCUCAGUAUGAUGGAGGAAGAUUUCCCAGAAUCCCCUCCGGACGAUGAGCUCCAGCGCUCCCAAACAGAGGUGAUACCAGAUUCACCACAAGACCUGAACCUGGACAGAGUGAUCCAGGAUCAACAGAGUCCAGAGAGUCCCAAACAGGACCAGGAGCAGCAGUCUAGUCUAGACCAGGUUCAGGAUGAUGUAGAGGAUAAAACGUGUCCUCCAGAUCCUCCUGAGGUUCCGACAGAGGACGACUGUGGCCGAAGCAGAGCUUCAGAGGAGUCUGAUCUUCAAGUCGAACGUCACCAAUCGAUCUGUGAUCCGGAUCAGAGAGAGGAUCUGGUUGGAGUCUCGCCUCAGGAUCUGGACCGAGCUGGGCGAGAAGGAAACUCCGACCAGGACCAGGACCUGAAUACCGCCACAGCCAAUCAAGAGUCAGCCGGGGAUUCGGGUGGCAGCGUCCCAGCGCUGGUGAUCACUCAGGCGGAGGAGUCUGGACCAGAAUCAGUGGCUCCAGUCGAACCAGCGGAGCCUCGGAGACCACAGAGACCUGAAGACCUGGUGAUCCCUACGACACCCACAGAACCCAGUCUGAGCUCCAGCAGUGACGGAGGAGACAUGACCUGCUCAGACCUCCUUUCUCUGAGGAGCGACUCCGUGUCUCUGGCCAGUGAGCCGACGAUCUCCAGGACGAGCGAUCCAGUCCCAUCAGCAGCAGAAAGGCUCUCUUUAUGGCGGGGUCACCGGGGGGAAUAUGGAGCCCGGCGUACGAGCGGUGAGGCUGUAGCGUAAUCAUAAUUCCCUUGACCUCUGGUGACCCCUGCGAGGCUCCGACAACGAGGGCCACGCCACAGAACAGGCGGCUCCUUUCAAACCGCCGCUCGCUCCAAAAUGGCUUUUUCAUUUCUCAAACAAUCACAUGGCGGCGGCUGUGAAUGAGAGGGCAGAUUACAUAAGGCCGGGGUUCCCGGGGUGAGAUAAGUGCUUUCUCUCCCAGAAAGCCGGAGACUGAGAGCUCAUACCGGCAACGCCGUUAUCUUCCUGCGCUCUCAUUAACGCUCCCCUCUGACUCUCUGAAAGCAGCUACUGGCAAAACACGAUUGUUGGAAAAUCUCAAUUAAUAUGUAAAUGUGAGUGAGAUUCAUUACUUAUCAGAAUCAAUCCAACUUUAUUGGUCCAGCAGCUUUCAUACAGACCGCAACCAGGACUGUAAUUUAUCUGCGCUUUUAUUUUAGUAACGCACAAAUCACAAGUUGGUGAUAAUUUACAUCACUAGUUCCAACCUGAGGGUCAGGACCCCGCCAGGGGUCGCCAAAGCUUCCUGAGGGGUCGCGAGACCUUCUUGAUUUUAAUGGAUGUGAGAAAACUAAAAUAAAGAAAAAUAUACACUGUUAAAUAUUUAUCUUCACAGCGUCUUCCUGUCCAACUGUGGUUACUUUUAUUUUGGUUUCCCCUCUGGAUCUGAUCUACUCAUCAGAGGCCCGUCAGUCUCAGCCAGUGUUCACCUGUUAAUCAAUAAUACGGCCUGACGGUUCGAGAACUGUGACAGUGGGAGACAUGGCGUCACAACUCAGUGAUGGUAAAGCAAAGAGCGUCUCAUCACUGUUAGUGUGAAGGUUUGUAAAGGAUCAAUGUCUGGAUCCUAAAACUCUUUAAAGAUCAGUGGAACUGACCACAACCAUUAGAAGAUCCUCCAGGUUCAGCUUUAAUUAUAUUAUUAUAUAUUUAUAUUUAUAUGUGUGUGUGUGUGUGUGUGUGUGUGUGUGUGUGCAUUGAAAGCAACCUGAACUCACAUUGAGUCCUGGUCAAUACGAAGGAAUACAAAUACUUUAAAACACAAAUACAAUAAAAUAAACAAUUCAGUAAAUUAUAAUAAAA